GCAUGCUGUUGUUUCCCAUGAUGCCCUGAGGAAAACAUUGGUGCACAUCAAUCAGGACCGGUUCAACUCAGAAACGUUUCAAAACAUGCUGAAAGAUCUACGUAGAAGCUGGAGACGAGACCCUGUGAGACUGAGGAGACGACGUCCUCCUCCCGGACUGCGGAGAGCUCAACAUCUGCACGAGACAAAAACACCAAAAAUCAAUAAACCAAAACUACAAAGAUACACGAUAAAGCCACAAGUA